AGCGCCAUAGCUCAGUCAAUAGAGCAUAAAACUCUUAAUCUCAGGGCUGUGGGUUUGAGUCCCACAUGGGGCCA
rnacentral:tRNA from 1 species